UAACGGUCCUAAGGUAGCGAAAUUCCUUGUCGGGUAAGUUCCGACCUGCACGAAUGGCGUAAUGAUGGCCAGGCUGUCUCCACCCGAGACUCAGUGAAAUUGAACUCGCUGUGAAGAUGCAGUGUACCCGCGGCAAGACGGAAAGACCCCGUGAACCUUUACUAUAGCUUGACACUGAACAUUGAGCCUUGAUGUGUAGGAUAGGUGGGAGGCUUUGAAGUGUGGACGCCAGUCUGCAUGGAGCCGACCUUGAAAUACCACCCUUUAAUGUUUGAUGUUCUAACGUGGACCCGUGAUCCGGGUUGCGGACAGUGUCUGGUGGGUAGUUUGACUGGGGCGGUCUCCUCCUAAAGAGUAACGGAGGAGCACGAAGGUUGGCUAAUCCUGGUCGGACAUCAGGAGGUUAGUGCAAUGGCAUAAGCCAGCUUGACUGCGAGCGUGACGGCGCGAGCAGGUGCGAAAGCAGGUCAUAGUGAUCCGGUGGUUCUGAAUGGAAGGGCCAUCGCUCAACGGAUAAAAGGUACUCCGGGGAUAACAGGCUGAUACCGCCCAAGAGUUCAUAUCGACGGCGGUGUUUGGCACCUCGAUGUCGGCUCAUCACAUCCUGGGGCUGAAGUAGGUCCCAAGGGUAUGGCUGUUCGCCAUUUAAAGUGGUACGCGAGCUGGGUUUAGAACGUCGUGAGACAGUUCGGUCCCUAUCUGCCGUGGGCGCUGGAGAACUGAGGGGGGCUGCUCCUAGUACGAGAGGACCGGAGUGGACGCAUCACUGGUGUUCGGGUUGUCAUGCCAAUGGCACUGCCCGGUAGCUAAAUGCGGAAGAGAUAAGUGCUGAAAGCAUCUAAGCACGAAACUUGCCCCGAGAUGAGUUCUCCCUGACCCUUUAAGGGUCCUGAAGGAACGUUGAAGACGACGACGUUGAUAGGCCGGGUGUGUAAGCGCAGCGAUGCGUUGAGCUAACCGGUACUAAUGAACCGUGAGGCUUAACCUUACAACGCCGAAGGUGUUU
rnacentral:rRNA from 1 species